GCUCCAGACUCCUACGGGAGGCAGCAGUGAGGAAUAUUGGUCAAUGGGCGGAAGCCUGAACCAGCCAAGUCGCGUGAGGGAUUAAGGCCCUGCGGGUCGUAAACCUCUUUUGCCGGGGAGCAGAGGUCCGGACGUGUCCGGGCCGGGAGAGUACCCGGAGAAAAAGCAUCGGCUAACUCCGUGCCAGCAGCCGCGGUAAUACGGAGGAUGCGAGCGUUAUCCGGAUUUAUUGGGUGUAAAGGGUGCGUAGAUGGAUAAACAAGUUGGUUGUGAAAUCCCUCGGCUUAACUGAGGAAUUGCAACCAAAACUGUAGAUCUUGAGUACUGGAGGGGAAAGCGGAAUUCCUAGUGUAGCGGUGAAAUGCGUAGAUAUUAGGAAGAACACCGGUGGCGAAGGCGGCUUUCUGGACAGAAACUGACAUUGAGGCACGAAAGUGUGGGGAGCAAACAGGAUUAGAUACCCCAGUA
rnacentral:rRNA from 1 species